rnacentral:rRNA from 1 species
GGACUACCCGGGUAUCUAAUCCCGUUCGCUCCCCUAGCUUUCGCACAUGAGCGUCAGAUGCGAUCCAGGACGCUGCCUUCGCCUUCGGUGUUCUUCCAGAUCUCUACGCAUUUCACCGCUCCACCUGGAAUUCCGCGUCCCUCUUUCGCCCUCAAGUCUUCCAGUUUUCCGAGUCCUGUGGCAGUUAAGCCGCCACCUGUCACUCGAAACUUAAAAGACCGCCUGCGUGCGCUUUACGCCCAAUAAAUCCGGACAACGCUUGCCCCCUACGUAUUACCGCGGCUGCUGGCAC